UAUCUACAGGCUUAACACAUGCAAGUCGAGGGGCAGCAUGGUCUUAGCUUGCUAAGGCCGAUGGCGACCGGCGCACGGGUGAGUAACACGUAUCCAACCUGCCGUCUACUCUUGGACAGCCUUCUGAAAGGAAGAUUAAUACAAGAUGGCAUCAUGAGUCCGCAUGUUCACAUGAUUAAAGGUAUUCCGGUAGACGAUGGGGAUGCGUUCCAUUAGAUAGUAGGCGGGGUAACGGCCCACCUAGUCUUCGAUGGAUAGGGGUUCUGAGAGGAAGGUCCCCCACAUUGGAACUGAGACACGGUCCAAACUCCUACGGGAGGCAGCAGUGAGGAAUAUUGGUCAAUGGGCGAGAGCCUGAACCAGCCAAGUAGCGUGAAGGAUGACUGCCCUAUGGGUUGUAAACUUCUUUUAUAAAGGAAUAAAGUCGGGUAUGCAUACCCGUUUGCAUGUACUUUAUGAAUAAGGAUCGGCUAACUCCGUGCCAGCAGCCGCGGUAAUACGGAGGAUCCGAGCGUUAUCCGGAUUUAUUGGGUUUAAAGGGAGCGUAGAUGGAUGUUUAAGUCAGUUGUGAAAGUUUGCGGCUCAACCGUAAAAUUGCAGUUGAUACUGGAUAUCUUGAGUGCAGUUGAGGCAGGCGGAAUUCGUGGUGUAGCGGUGAAAUGCUUAGAUAUCACGAAGAACUCCGAUUGCGAAGGCAGCCUGCUAAGCUGCAACUGACAUUGAGGCUCGAAAGUGUGGGUAUCAAACAGGAUUAGAUACCCUGGUAGUCCACACGGUAAACGAUGAAUACUCGCUGUUUGCGAUAUACGGCAAGCGGCCAAGCGAAAGCGUUAAGUAUUCCACCUGGGGAGUACGCCGGCAACGGUGAAACUCAAAGGAAUUGACGGGGGCCCGCACAAGCGGAGGAACAUGUGGUUUAAUUCGAUGAUACGCGAGGAACCUUACCCGGGCUUAAAUUGCAGAUGAAUUACGGUGAAAGCCGUAAGCCGCAAGGCAUCUGUGAAGGUGCUGCAUGGUUGUCGUCAGCUCGUGCCGUGAGGUGUCGGCUUAAGUGCCAUAACGAGCGCAACCUUUGUUGUCAGUUACUAACAGGUUCCGCUGAGGACUCUGACAAGACUGCCAUCGUAAGAUGUGAGGAAGGUGGGGAUGACGUCAAAUCAGCACGGCCCUUACGUCCGGGGCUACACACGUGUUACAAUGGGGGGUACAGAGGGCCGCUACCACGCGAGUGGAUGCCAAUCCCAAAAACCUCUCUCAGUUCGGACUGGAGUCUGCAACCCGACUCCACGAAGCUGGAUUCGCUAGUAAUCGCGCAUCAGCCACGGCGCGGUGAAUACGUUCCCGGGCCUUGUACACACCGCCCGUCAAGCCAUGGGAGCCGGGGGUACCUGAAGUGCGUAACCGCGAGGAGCGCCCUAGGGUAAAACUGGUGACUGG
rnacentral:rRNA from 1 species